rnacentral:rRNA from 1 species
CCUACGGGUGGCAGCAGUGGGGGAUAUUGCACAAUGGGGGAAACCCUGAUGCAGCGACGCCGCGUUUGGGAAGACGGUCCUCUGGAUUGUAAACCACUGUCCCCAGGGACGAAGAUGACGGUACCUGGGGAGGAAGCUCCGGCUAACUACGUGCCAGCAGCAGCGGUAAUACGUAGGGAGCGAGCGUUGUCCGGAAUUACUGGGUGUAAGGGGAGCGUAGGCGGGACUGCAAGUUGGGUGUCAAAUCUACCGGCUCAACCGGUAGCCGCACUCAAAACUGCAGUUCUUGAGUGAAGUAGAGGCAGGCGGAAUUCCUAGUGUAGCGGUGAAAUGCGUAGAUAUUAGGAGGAACACCAGUGGCGAAGGCGGCCUGCUGGGCUUUUACUGACGCUGAGGCUCGAAAGUGUGGGGAGCAAACAGGAUUAGAUACCCCAGUAGUC